ACCCCCUGGCAAUGGGCAGAGACAUCUCACUGGUGGUGGUGUUCUUUUAUCAGUCAGGGGCAGAGCAGAUGCUAGUCCUUUGUUCAUCCUAACUCGAUGCCUGGCUUAGGGGCCAAAGCUGUUUGAUACCUAGGGUACAGAA